AUUUAGCCAAGAUGGCCUUUGAAGUAUGUUGUGGGAAACAGUUGGAGGUCUGCUGUCACUGACUAUUAAGGGACUCUGAAGAUUUUCCAGCAGAAGAAUUUUUCUCAGCAGAAGAAUCAAUUUUUUGUUUGUUUGUUUGUUUUGUACCAAAAAUACAAAAAUACGUGAAGUAGUAUGAUGCUGGCAACAUUUCUUCUUGAAACGUUAUUCUGUAGUUCUGCAGGUAGCAGAAUGCAGCACCUGUUGCCUGGAUCUAAGAUGUGAGGUGACAACACUGCACUUACCAAGUCCAUGCCACACUUCAACUGAAGCAGAUGGAAAACUAAGCACUGUGAGUGUCAGGUCUGCUCAUUGAGGUGGUGUGGGGCAGCAGGGCAUCACACGCAUACUUUGCUAGAUCGAUAGUUUCUACAUGUUUAAGUCAAUAGGACUGAGGACUUGAACCUCAGGAUUCUCUUAAGAAAACGGGAAUGUUAGUAUACCUCCUGAGUGUCCUAACUGAUGUUAGCCUCUGAUAUAUUACUCACAUGAAAGUAAGGAUCUCCCACAGGUGACAGACACAGAUGACCUGCUCAAGUAAAAUCUUACCUUUAUGUCUAAUAUUGAAGAUCAGCCAAGAUAAAAGCAGGAAGAACAGAAACUUUAUGAACUUGGUGGGCCACUUUUCUUGAUGGCAAGACUUUUGAGAUCCCAAGAUGGAAAAUGAAAGUUUUAUCCACGCUAUUAUGUCGUGUUACAUGCACAUAUAUCGACUGAUACUUAUACUGAUGAAAUAUAGUAUAUUGCACAGAUGACCAUCUCUCUCUAAUCUGCCCCAGUGAGGCCACAUCUGGAGUACUGUGUCCAGUUCUGGGUUCCUCAGUUCAAAAAUGACAGGGAUCUUCUAGACAGUCCAGAAGAGGGCCACAAAGAUGAUUAGAGGCCUAGAGCAUCUCCCGCACAAGGAAACACUGAGAGGCCUAGUACUCAUCAGUCUGGAGAAGGCAGAAAGGGGAUGUCAUCACUGAUUAUAAAUAUCUGAAGGGUGGGAGUGAAACCAAUGGGGGUGGGCACUUUUCAGUGGUGUACAGCAAUAGAACAGGGGCAAUGGAUAGAAACUGGAAAAAAAAAAAAGGAAGUUCUGUACAAACACAAGGAAGAAAUUCUUUGCUGUGAGGGUGACGGAGCACUGGAACAGACUGCCCAGAGAAGUUGUGGAGUCUCCUUCUCCAGAGAUCUUCAAGACCCGUCUGGAUGCCAACCUGAGUGACUUACUGUAGGAAACCUGCUUUAGCAGGAUGCUGGACUUGAUGAUUUCCAACAGUCCCUUCCAAACCCUGCAAUCCUGUGAUUCUGUGAUUUAUUAUGAAUAAACCAAACCAUUACUAGUAUAAUAGCAAUUUAAAAUGUUGGUACAUGAUGCAUAUGUAUUGUAUAAAUUUUCAAGUCUACAUUAUCUUACAAGUGAUUUGUUCUGUCUGACAAGAAAAUAACAUUCAACAUAAAAUCUAGUAGAUAUAUUUAGUAUGAAACUUAGCAUCUCUCCUAAGCUGAAAUAUAUGUCAUUCAGUAUUAUUAUCAACACAGAAGUUCUCCAUACCUAAUGGAUUUACCUAUAGCACUUAUACUAGUAAACAUAUCACUAUCAUUCUUAAUUUCUCUUAAUAUUUCAGAUGUUCAACUGAUAAAAUGUAUUGGCAGUCCAAAUUCUUUUAGAAAUAAUAAUAUUUAGCUUAUCUGCUGCAUAAACAAAAUUCAACUGGGAGUAGAAACUCAUCAUAUUGGUGCUAUGUAUAGAAUAAGGCAGUCCAUAACAACUCAAAUUUACAGUCUAGACUGCGCAUAGUGAGUGCCAAAUAAAUGAAACUGCACUGUCCUAGUUUUACGACUGGGGAAAAUGUAGACAAAAAGACAGUUUGUGUGUUUUAUUAAAUAUAAUGCAGAUGCAGUGAUCUGGACUUCAUCCUGCAAAAUAGUGGACCAAGAGGAGUUUUCAUUCCCAGUAAGAAUGUGGAACUUA
ensembl:lncRNA